rnacentral:rRNA from 1 species
UACGUAGGGGGCAAGCGUUGUCCGGAUUUAUUGGGCGUCAAGAGCGUGUAGGCGGCCAGGGAGGUCCGUUGUGAAAACUCGAGGCUCAACCUCGAGACGCCGAUGGAAACCCCCUGGCUAGAGUCCGGAAGAGGAGAAUGGAAUUCCUGGUGUAGCGGUGAAAUGCGCAGAUAUCAGGAAGAACACCCGUGGCUAAGGCGGUUCUCUAGUACGGUACUGACGCUGAGACGCGAAAGCGUGGGGAGCGAACAGG